ACGUAGGGUGCGAGCGUUAAUCGGAAUUACUGGGCGUAAAGCGUGCGCAGGCGGUUUCGUAAGACAGAUGUGAAAUCCCCGGGCUUAACCUGGGAACUGCGUUUGAGACUGCGGGACUUGAGUGCGGUAGAGGGGAGUGGAAUUCCGCGUGUAGCGGUGAAAUGCGUAGAGAUGUGGAGGAACCCCGAUGGCGAAGGCAGCCCACUGGGCCGGAACUGACGCUCAUGCGCGAAAGCGUGGGGAGCAAACAG
rnacentral:rRNA from 1 species